UGUAUCUUCAGCUUAAGCAGUGAUCAUAGUUACCGUUGUGUGGCACAUACUGACUUAAAGAAAGAGCAAGAGAAAUUCUAUAAUAAAAUCUGGAAAUCUGAAGAAGAAUUAGAUGCUGUGCCCAGAAUAGAAGCUAUUUUUGGAUAGGAACCUCUACUGGCUUAUCAUUAAUAAAUUUAGCAAACUUGGAACUGGAAGCGUUUUUAUGUUACAAAGAUUACAGUGGCCUCAGCGUUCGAUUUGCUAGAUUGUGUUCAUUAAUGAAGAAAGCAGUUAAUGGAAAGUGUAAUUAUUGCAGGUUUUAUGCUUGAUCACUUCAAUGUUUGAAGACAUCAUUGCUGUGUUGGAAGUUAACCCUGCUUUGUUGAUGACAUCUCAGCAGAGUGGUGUUCUUAAAAGUGGAAAUGAAGGGAGUCUAUCAGUCAUUGCCAGGUGUUCUCUGUUGCCAACAUCUCCAUUGUGUGAAAAUUUAAAUAAAAAUAAAAAACGUCCGAGUAAAACACAUGGAGUGAAAAGCACCGUGAAAGAUCAACCACUGGUUUUUCAUAAUGAAAUUAAGGUUAUACAGCUGCACCACAAAUGGCCAUGUUUUCUCCAAAUACUAAACUGAAGAAAAAUAAUAUAUUGAAUUGCAAGACCAGUUUUGAAGGAAACAACAUUCAGUUCUCACAUAUGGAACUAAAACACACUGUAAAUUUGCUGUAAAAUGAUUGUAGCAAGUGAUUCAGAUCUUCAUCUGCAAUUCUAAUAAGAAAAAUAGCUGAA